rnacentral:hammerhead_ribozyme from 1 species
GCACUGCUGAGGAGUCCCAGAGUUGGACGAAACGGCCGUCCAGUGC